UUUUUUAGGCGGAAAACGUAUUUAGAUCACCUGCAAUGCAGCGAUUUGUCUGACAAUCACAGACCACUGAUGAUUCAGCUCAAGAACCACAAUGUGUUGUCACCGCUUAUGAAGUAAAUGGACAAAGAAAAACCAAAAGAGGUUGCUCCUACGACCCUGUUGAAGAAAAUACCAGAUGCAAAAACCUAAUUGGUGGAAACGAUACUGUAAAUGUCGUUGGCUGCAGAGCCUGUGUCGGAAAUCUUUGCAAUUCGGGAUCAAAAAUUGUUAUUGCUUUUAUCCCAUUAUUUGUUAGUGUUAUAAUUAAUGUGUAUUCUUAAAAAAAUAUUAAAUUAAUACAUUUAUAUUGUCUUUUUUUAAAUAUAGGUAAAUUUUAAAGUUAUACAACAUUUCUGUUUUAAAUUAAAUUAUGAAAGACUAUGUUACUAAAUAAUUAUCUUAUUUAUAAAACAGUGGCAAUUUUAAUUAUGUUAGUUUGCUCUUUUUUAAAAUAAUAUAUUGAAUGGCUUAGAGAUAAAGCCCAUAAUAAAGACAGUGUUUCCUAUAAGA